AGGAUGAGAGAUGGGACUGGCAUACGUGAUAAUGGUAAUAUCUGACUGUUCCAUGGAUUUGGGAGGAUGUUCCUGAAGCACCACUGCCAACAACCAAUUGUUGCCCUUGGCAACUAGAGAAAAGACAAAAGCAAGAAGAAGCUACCUGAACAGCAGGAAGAGGAUCACAGCUUGGAUAAGAGAGACACAAUCUGUCAUUUAACUGUGGGAAACGACAUAUUGUUCACAGACAGAACCGCUCCUUUGGGAGAACUGACCAGAAAAAUGAAUUCCUAGAAAAGGAUGAAAGAAGAGAGGAGAACGGCUCCAUUUCGUAUACAGAGCAGCAGUUCUGGAAUCAUCUGCUCUCAUGAAAAGAACAGGAUCCCCAGGGGACCACGCCAGGAUUGACAGCAGCUCAUCUUACAGAUGAAAACAUGGUUUUGGACAGGAUCCUGCUGGAUAGUGUAGCUGCAUUACCAUCGGAGGCAAAAACAGGAAUUGUUGAGACCAAGUCUUGGUCAACUUUUUGUCUAAUUCUUCUAUUGUAUUAAAAUAGAUUUCCUGUGACAAUAAACAUUGGCCUCCUCCUCCACCACCA